GAGUCAUUGUAGCAAUACAAGGCAGACGGCUCAGUAACACGUAGCCAACUUACCCUAUGGACGGGGAUAACCUCGGGAAACUGAGGAUAAACCCCGAUAGAUCAUUAUGCCUGGAACGGUUUAUGGUUGAAAUGAUUCGUCGCCGUAGGAUGGGACUGCGGCCUAUCAGCUUGUUGGUGAGGUAAUGGCCCACCAAGGCUAUUACAGGUACGGGCUCUGAGAGGAGAAGCCCGGAGAUGGGUACUGAGACACGGACCCAGGCCCUAUGGGGCGCAGCAGGCGAGAAAACUUUGCAAUGUGCGCAAGCACGACAAGGUUAAUCCGAGUGUUUCCUGCUAAAGGAAUCUUUUGUUAGUCGUAAAACCACUAGUGAAUAAGGGGUGGGCAAGUUCUGGUGUCAGCCGCCGCGGUAAAACCAGCACCUCAAGUGGUCAGGAGGAUUAUUGGGCCUAAAGCACCCGUAGCCUGCUCUAUAAGUUUCCGGUUAAAUCCAUUGGCUUAACUAAUGGGCUGCCGGAAAAACUGUAGAGCUAGGGAGUGGGAGAGGUAGACGGUACUCGGUAGGAAGGGGUAAAAUCCUUUGAUCUAUUGAUGACCACCUGUGGCGAAGGCGGUCUACCAGAACACGUUCGACGGUGAGGGAUGAAAGCUGGGGGAGCAAACCGGAUUAGAUACCCGGGUAGUCCCAGCUGUAAACGAUGCAGACUCGGUGAUGCCCUGGCUUGUGGCCAGUGCAGUGCCGCAGGGAAGCCGUUAAGUUUGCCGCCUGGGAAGUACGUACGCAAGUAUGAAACUUAAAGGAAUUGGCGGGGGAGCACCACAAGG
rnacentral:rRNA from 1 species